rnacentral:rRNA from 1 species
AAAGCUUCGUAGUUGGGAUUUCUGUGAGGACGGCCGGUCCGCACUAUGUGCGUUUUUCUGGUUCGGCCUUGGCAUCCUCUUGAGGAUCUGUUCCUGCGCUUGAUUGCGUGGGGCGGUAUUCAAGACUUUUACUUUGAGGAAAUUAGAGUGUUCACGGCAGGCAAGCGCCUUGAAUACAUUAGCAUGGAAUAAUAAUAUAGGAUCUUGGUUCUAUUUGUUGGUUUCUAGGGCUAAGGUAAUGAUUAAUAGGGAUAAUUGGGGGCAUUUGUAUUAACGCGUCAGAGGUGGAAUUCUUGGAUUGCGUUACGACAAACUACUGCGAAAGCAUUUGCCAAGGAUGUUUUCAUUGAUCAAGAACGAAAGUAUGGGGAUCGAAGAUGAUUAGAUACCGUCGUAGUCUAUACCAUAAACUAUGCCGACUAGGGAUUGGAGGUCGCUCUUUUUAUGACUCCUUCACCACCUUAUGAGAAAUCAAAUCCUUUGGGUUCCG